rnacentral:rRNA from 1 species
AGGACGAACGCUGGCGGCGUGCUUAACACAUGCAAGUCGAACGAGGUGCUUGCACCUAGUGGCGAACGGGUGAGUAACACGUGAGCAACCUGCCCUUGGCUCUGGGAUAGCCUCCGGAAACGGGGAUUAAUACCGGACAUGACCUGCCUCCGCAUGGGGGCGGGUGGAAAGUUUUUCGGCCAGGGAGGGGCUCGCGGCCUAUCAGCUUGUUGGGGGGGUAACGGCCCACCAAGGCGACGACGGGUAGCCGGCCUGAGAGGGCGACCGGCCACACUGGGACUGAGACACGGCCCAGACUCCUACGGGAGGCAGCAGUGGGGAAUAUUGCACAAUGGGCGAAGCCUGAUGCAGCGACGCCGCGUGCGGGAUGAAGGCCUUCGGGUUGUAAACCGCUUUCAGCGAGGGGCGAAUUCAGACGGUACCUGCAGAAGAGCGCCGGCUAACUACGUGCCAGCAGCCGC